CUGCAUAUGAAUGACAUAGAGCGAGAAGCUUAGUACGAAAACUAUGAAAGGUUUUCGAUGAUCUUUUCACGGGAACGUAAGCGAUGAUUAUCGAAAUGUAAGAUACACGAGAUGGCGAAGAUCAUGUCAAGGAUAUAAAGUUUAAAGGUUCAUAAGUUGAAAUCAAUGAAGGAGUUAGAAUAAAAUUAAUGUUUAAGAUAUGUAACAAGUUAAGGACGAAGGUGUAAAUAACAAGGAGAUAUUAUCUUUUCAAUCUACGACCAACUUGAGUGAAGUUAAGUAUCAUAAAAAGGAAAGUAAUGAUAAAAUAAGGGACACAAGGUCAAGGUCAGUUAAAACUACAAGUGAAGAAAUUACUUUGGAUAAGUAAUUUGAGUAAUGGAAAAAUUUAGAAACUUUGCUCACGACAAGUAAGUGGAAGAUCAUUAACAAAUGACGAUGUGAAAAGUUUCAAGAACACAGUGGAUGGUAAUGGUGAAAGUGUAAUUAUACUCGGGAAGGAAAAGUAUAAGAAGUAAGACUUUAGGUCUUAAUAAGGAGCAAUAAAAAAAAAAUUGCUAAGGAGUGUAAUGCUCGUUGGGUAAGAGUAUUACGAUAGUUAUGAAAAUUCGAGGACGAAUUUUUAUAAGGGGGGAAGAAUCUAAUACCCCGUACUUUUAAAAGUACAAAGUAAGAUGCCACGGGGCAUAAGUGCAAGAAUUAAGUCAAGGACAUUGGAAUUAAGUUCGAGAAAUAGGAAAUUAGACCGAAGAGGGUCUACCAAAAUUAUCGUAAAAUAAUAAUUUAAGUAUAAAUUAUUAUUCGAUGAAUUGGAUUUUAGCGGGACUAAAGGAUAAUUAAUACAUUAAAUAAAAUAAAUGGUAAGUCCCGAGUUAAUAAAUUUUACGAUAAAGUUCGUAAAAUAAAUUCAAGGAGCUAAGAUUUAAUUUUAUAGAAAUUGGAUGAAAGCAUUUUAUUAAACGGAAUUUUGAUUAUCGGAAAAAGAAAAAGGACAUAAAUAAAUUAUUUAGACCCGGAUAAAUAAAUAAUGCGAUAGAGUCCGUUAUUUAUCAAUAAAGAAUAAUCGUCAAAGUUCCGUUUAAUUAUGAUAACAUUUUGGAAUAUAAUUGGAAAAAUUAAAAGUUGAGCGUUUAAAUCGAAAGUUAUUAAAAUAAAUUAUCGGAAAAUAUAGUAAUGAGGUAGCGGAAUAAUAUUAUUUAUUUGGAUAUAAAUAAUACGGAAUUUAUCGAGAUCGGACAGUUAAAGGAUUAAUGGAUUAAAUUGGACGAAAGAAAAGUUGGAAAUUGAAACGAAUGGAGGUGGCAACUUAAAGGACCAAGAGGAGUAUUUUUCCAACCUAUACAUAAGUGUUGCAAAUGAAAUUUUUUUCAUUUUCUACCUCAUUUCCAGCAAGAACUUUGAGAGAAGAAGAGUUCAUCAUCUUCAUUAUUCCAUAAUCUUCUAAACCUCACCAAAGCUUCGUUUCUUAUCCGAUUUACGUGAUUCUUGCGGCAACGGAAAGAGGAAGACGAUAGCUACAAAUCUUGGCCAUCAAUUCAAGAUAACGGUUUGGAGUGGUUUUUGUUGCGUUGGAUUGAGGAAAUAAAUAUCUACCAUCUAAGGGUUGUAAAUCAAGACCCGGCGAGACGAUUACUAACGGGACUCGGAACGUGACGAACGCGAUACCGUUUUACGAAUUCUCGAAGAUUAUGGUUAGCAAGUGUGUUUUGUUUCAGGUGAUAGUAUUUGAAGAGAUGGACUUCCAUUCUUGUUCCGGAAGUCUACAACAUAUAAAGUAUGUAUUGAAGUACGCUUCAAUUCGUAGCGCUGCAGUAGUCAGUAGAUGUCAGUCUAUAUUUGAUUGUUUAUACCGAACGAGAUCCAGCUGUUAACUCUGAUUUUAUAAAAUAUAUAUAUAUAUAUACGAUUUAUAAAACUAUGUUUUUACCCGUUUGAUAUUUCACCAAUUGUCUAUGAAUGAAAUUGGUAUGAAAUUGUAUGAUUCGGAACAAGGCAAUGCUGAGUUAUGUUAUCGCAGAGUAAGACCUUAGUUCCAAUCGAUUAUGCAUCGGUUAUGAAAGAACGUUUUCGACGAUUAUGAAAUAUUGUUUUACGAAGUUUUCCCGAAAA